AGAUCUAAGACUUCGGAAAUUUAUCAUAGAAAAUGAUCAGUGGAAGCCCCUUGUUGAAGCAGAGUGGAAGCGCAUUUGUGAACAUAAAGGU